rnacentral:rRNA from 1 species
GCAAGUAGAACGCUGAAGAGAGGAGCUUGCUCUUCUUGGAUGAGUUGCGAACGGGUGAGUAACGCGUAGGUAACCUGCCUUGUAGCGGGGGAUAACUAUUGGAAACGAUAGCUAAUACCGCAUAACAAUGGAUGACACAUGUCAUUUAUUUGAAAGGGGCAAUUGCUCCACUACAAGAUGGACCUGCGUUGUAUUAGCUAGUAGGUGAGGUAACGGCUCACCUAGGCGACGAUACAUAGCCGACCUGAGAGGGUGAUCGGCCACACUGGGACUGAGACACGGCCCAGACUCCUACGGGAGGCAGCAGUAGGGAAUCUUCGGCAAUGGGGGCAACCCUGACCGAGCAACGCCGCGUGAGUGAAGAAGGUUUUCGGAUCGUAAAGCUCUGUUGUAAGUCAAGAACGAGUGUGAGAGUGGAAAGUUCACACUGUGACGGUAGCUUACCAGAAAGGGACGGCUAACUACGUGCCAGCAGCCGCGGUAAUACGUAGGUCCCGAGCGUUGUCCGGAUUUAUUGGGCGUAAAGCGAGCGCAGGCGGUUUGAUAAGUCUGAAGUUAAAGGCUGUGGCUCAACCAUAGUUCGCUUUGGAAACUGUCAAACUUGAGUGCAGAAGGGGAGAGUGGAAUUCCAUGUGUAGCGGUGAAAUGCGUAGAUAUAUGGAGGAACACCGGUGGCGAAAGCGGCUCUCUGGUCUGUAACUGACGCUGAGGCUCGAAAGCGUGGGGAGCGAACAGGAUUAGAUACCCUGGUAGUCCACGCCGUAAACGAUGAGUGCUAGGUGUUGGAUCCUUUCCGGGAUUCAGUGCCGCAGCUAACGCAUUAAGCACUCCGCCUGGGGAGUACGACCGCAAGGUUGAAACUCAAAGGAAUUGACGGGGGCCCGCACAAGCGGUGGAGCAUGUGGUUUAAUUCGAAGCAACGCGAAGAACCUUACCAGGUCUUGACAUCCCGAUGCUAUUUCUAGAGAUAGAAAGUUACUUCGGUACAUCGGUGACAGGUGGUGCAUGGUUGUCGUCAGCUCGUGUCGUGAGAUGUUGGGUUAAGUCCCGCAACGAGCGCAACCCCUAUUGUUAGUUGCCAUCAUUCAGUUGGGCACUCUAGCGAGACUGCCGGUAAUAAACCGGAGGAAGGUGGGGAUGACGUCAAAUCAUCAUGCCCCUUAUGACCUGGGCUACACACGUGCUACAAUGGUUGGUACAACGAGUUGCGAGUCGGUGACGGCAAGCUAAUCUCUUAAAGCCAAUCUCAGUUCGGAUUGUAGGCUGCAACUCGCCUACAUGAAGUCGGAAUCGCUAGUAAUCGCGGAUCAGCACGCCGCGGUGAAUACGUUCCCGGGCCUUGUACACACCGCCCGUCACACCACGAGAGUUUGUAACACCCGAAGUCGGUGAGGUAACCUUUUGGAGCCAGCCGCCU